ACGGGUGAGUAAUACAUCGGAACGUGCCCUGUAGUGGGGGAUAACUAGUCGAAAGAUUAGCUAAUACCGCAUACGACCUGAGGGUGAAAGUGGGGGACCGCAAGGCCUCAUGCUAUAGGAGCGGCCGAUGUCUGAUUAGCUAGUUGGUGAGGUAAAGGCUCACCAAGGCGACGAUCAGUAGCUGGUCUGAGAGGACGAUCAGCCACACUGGGACUGAGACACGGCCCAGACUCCUACGGGAGGCAGCAGUGGGGAAUUUUGGACAAUGGGGGCAACCCUGAUCCAGCAAUGCCGCGUGUGUGAAGAAGGCCUUCGGGUUGUAAAGCACUUUUGUCCGGAAAGAAAUCGCACUUACUAAUAUUAGGUGUGGAUGACGGUACCGGAAGAAUAAGGACCGGCUAACUACGUGCCAGCAGCCGCGGUAAUACGUAGGGUCCAAGCGUUAAUCGGAAUUACUGGGCGUAAAGCAUGCGCAGGCGGUUGUGCAAGACCGAUGUGAAAUCCCCGGGCUUAACCUGGGAAUUGCAUUGGUGACUGCACGGCUAGAGUGUGUCAGAGGGGGGUAGAAUUCCACGU
rnacentral:rRNA from 1 species